UACAGAGGUCUCAAGCGUUGUUCGGAUUCAUUGGGCGUAAAGGGCGCGUAGGCGGCGGGGUAAGUCGGAUGUGAAAUCCCCAGGCUCAACCUGGGAACUGCAUCCGAUACUGGAUGGCUUGAAUCCGGGAGAGGGAUGCAGAAUUCCAGGUGUAGCGGUGAAAUGCGUAGAUAUCUGGAGGAAUACCGGUGGCGAAGGCGGCAUCCUGGACCGGCAUUGACGCUGAGGAGCGAAAGCUAGGGGAGCAAACGGG
rnacentral:rRNA from 1 species